rnacentral:rRNA from 1 species
ACACAUGCAAGUCGAGCGCGAAAGCUCUUCGGAGUGAGUAGAGCGGCGGACGGGUGAGUAACGCGUAGGAAUCUACCCAGUAGUGGGGGACAACUUGGGGAAACUCAAGCUAAUACCGCAUACGCCCUAUGGGGGAAAGCGGGGGACCUUCGGGCCUCGUGCUAUUGGAUGAGCCUGCGUUGGAUUAGCUAGUUGGUGGGGUAAAGGCCCACCAAGGCGACGAUCCAUAGCUGGUCUGAGAGGAUGAUCAGCCACACUGGGACUGAGACACGGCCCAGACUCCUACGGGAGGCAGCAGUGGGGAAUAUUGCGCAAUGGGCGAAAGCCUGACGCAGCCAUGCCGCGUGUGUGAAGAGGGCCCUAGGGUUGUAAAGCACUUUCACUUGGGAGGAAAGGUUCGUAGUUAAUAACUGCGAGCUGUGACGUUACCUUGAGAAGAAGCACCGGCUAACUCCGUGCCAGCAGCCGCGGUAAUACGGAGGGUGCGAGCGUUAAUCGGAAUUACUGGGCGUAAAGCGUGCGCAGGCGGUUUUGUAAGUCAGAUGUGAAAUCCCCGAGCUUAACUUGGGAACUGCGUUUGAAACUACAAGACUAGAGUGUGUCAGAGGGGGGUAGAAUUCCACGUGUAGCAGUGAAAUGCGUAGAGAUGUGGAGGAAUACCAAUGGCGAAGGCAGCCCCCUGGGAUAACACUGACGCUCAUGCACGAAAGCGUGGGGAGCGAACAGGAUUAGAUACCCUGGUAGUCCACGCCCUAAACGAUGUCAACUAGUUGUUGGUGGAGUAAGAUCCAUGAGUAACGUAGCUAACGCGUGAAGUUGACCGCCUGGGGAGUACGUCGCAAGAUUAAAACUCAAAGGAAUUGACGGGGCCCGCACAGCGUGAGCAUGUGUUUAAUCGAUGAUACGCGAGACUACAGGCUAAUGUAGAUGCAUAAGCUAGAGAUAGCUAUUUCCUCCGACUAUCUACAGUGCUGCAUGGUGUCGUCAGCUCGUGCGUGAGUGUCAGUA